GAUGAACGCUGACAGAAUGCUUAACACAUGCAAGUCUUUGGCGAAGCUGUGCUUGCACAGCCUAGCCAAGGCGGACGGGUGAGUAACGCGUAAGGAACUUGCCCUGCAGUCAGGGAUAACAGACGGAAACGACUGAUAAGACCUGGUAAAGUCAGGCGGACUCAUGUCCAGCCUGAUGAAAAGAGAUGCUGCAGGAGAGCCUUGCGUCCUAUUAGCUUGUUGGUGGUGUAACGGCCCACCAAGGCGAUGAUAGGUAGCCGGCCUGAGAGGGUGGACGGCCACAAGGGGACUGAGAUACGGCCCUUACUCAUACGGGAGGCAGCAGUGGGGAAUAUUGGACAAUGGGGGCAAACCUGAUCCAGCAAUUCUGUGUGAAAGAUGAAGGUUUUCGGAUUGUAAAGUGCUUUCAGCAGGGAAGAAAAAAAUGACGGUACCUGAAGAAGAAGCGACGGCUAAAUACGUG
rnacentral:rRNA from 1 species